UCUCCGUUUGUGAACCAGCGGAGGGAUCAUUACAGGACUCGCAAGACUCCUACAACCCUGUGAACUUAACUAUAAGCACGUUGCUUCGGCGGGUGUCUCGGAGGGGGUUCUCCCUCCCCGAGACGCUAAACCCGCCGGCAGCCUACUAUACUCUGUCUCUUUGCGUUGACAUCUCGAGUACAAUCAAACAAGUUAAAACUUUCAACAACGGAUCUCUUGGUUCUG
rnacentral:misc_RNA from 1 species